AAUGCACCCUGGAAUUGAAUUUAAAAAAAAUUUAAUUCUAUACCCAUGACUUGAACUCUACAAAUGGCACACGUAUCAGACACAACAUCCCAAGACCACAUUGCCACUGCAUUCCAUUUCUUCAGUGUGAACAACUUUUCCUCUUUUGAUUUUUCAUCACAACCACCAUCUUGUACAUUCUUGUCGAAACAAUUUUCUCGAUUGUCAGUCGCCAUUUUGCUUUCUUUCACUGCGCUAGACAAUUGUCUC